UACCAGCACCCCGAGUGGUCGGGACGUUUAUUGGGCCUAAAGCAUCCGUAGCCGGUCAUGCAAGUCUUCCGUUAAAUCCAGCCGCUCAACGGUUGGGCUGCGGAGGAUACUACGUGGCUAGGAGGCGGGAGAGGCAAGCGGUACUCAGUGGGUAGGGGUAAAAUCCUUUGAUCCAUUGAAGACCACCAGUGGCGAAGGCGGCUUGCCAGAACGCGCUCGACGGUGAGGGAUGAAAUCUGGGGGAGCAAACCGG
rnacentral:rRNA from 1 species